rnacentral:tRNA from 1 species
GCCCUCGUAGUUCAAUGGACAGAAUAGGCGCCUCCUAAGCGCUAGAUGCAGGUUCGACUCCUGCCGGGGGCA